ACUCUGAGCAGUGGACCACGCGGCUCACGGGUCGAUGAAGAACGCAGCUUGCUGCGAUAUUUGGUGUGAAUUGCAGGACACAUUGAACAUUGAACACCGAACUUUUGAACGCGCAUAGCGGCCGACGGUCUUCUGGGACUAGAGGCCUCGCCUGUCUGAGGGUC